rnacentral:lncRNA from 1 species
UCUCUUUCCUCUUAUUUCUCCCUUUCAGAAAAGUUAGAAUUAUACACUGAGAAAAUUAUAGUUAUGUUUUCGUAAAAGCCGCCAGUGUAAACAUUCCAUCCCCAGGGGCUGUGUCAGGGCAGGGCAGGGCAGUGGCAGUGAGGCAGGGCCUUGGGUCUCGGAGAAAGGUGCCUCUCAGUGACUGGCGGGCCGAGCAGUGAACAGAGUAAGCAGGGAGGAAAGCGGACUCAGGAAGUUGGGGAGUAUCAGUUAAAGCUGAAAAUGUGUUCAAAGGGAAUACCUGGACAAAGGUCGUCAGUGCGAGAAGAUUUUCAAGCCACAGGAUUCCUUCCUAGGGUGUUUCUAAUAUAUGAUAACACAAUACUAAGAGAUUUCAUUUUGACUCUGUGAUUAAGAUUGCUAGUGUUGUGUCUUAUUUUAAGAGAAAAUAAUCUUAACAAAAGUGCUGCUUUGUGAAUUUUAAGUUUUGACACAUUCAAGUUUUUAUUUUAAAAGAACACAUUUUCAUUUUGAUUAAGCAAAAAAUAGGCUUUGUGGUAAUUCAGUUUUAUAUUUGAAAUGAUUUUAGACUUAAAAUUAUGGAAAAUUUUAAACAUAUAAACAUAAUAAUACAGUGAAGCCUAUGUAUCAUUGGCUUCAGCAGUUACACACCCGAGGCCAGUCCUCUUUGAUAUACCAUUAUGUGUUCCCUUAUUUGCCCCCUAUAUCCCAGACA